CACGGAAAGGAUUGACAGAUUGAUCGCUCUUUCUUGAUUCUGUGGUUGGUGGUGCAUGGCCGUUCUUAGUUGGUGGAGCGAUUUGUCUGGUUAAUUCUGAUAACGAACGCACAGCACAUAUUCUGCCAGCUACCUCGCGGCUAACUUUUAAAGCCGCGGCAAGUGUAUUUUCACUCAAAUUUUCGCCGGCGGACAUUUUUAACAAUGCUUUUGCGCCCUU